GACGAUGAUUAAGAUUGGAAAG
rnacentral:miRNA from 1 species